AUUGAACGCUGGCGGCACGCUUUACACAUGCAAGUCGAACGGCAGCACGAAAGAGCUUGCUCUUUUGGUGGCGAGUGGCGAACGGGUGAGUAAUGCAUCGGAACGUACCGAGUAAUGGGGGAUAACUGUCCGAAAGGAUAGCUAAUACCGCAUACGCUUUGAGAAGGAAAGUGGGGGCUCUUCGGACCUCACGUUAUUCGAGCGGCCGAUGUCUGAUUAGCUAGUUGGUGGGGUAAAGGCCUACCAAGGCGACGAUCAGUAGCGGGUCUGAGAGGAUGAUCCGCCACACUGGGACUGAGACACGGCCCAGACUCCUACGGGAGGCAGCAGUGGGGAAUUUUGGACAAUGGGCGCAAGCCUGAUCCAGCCAUGCCGCGUGUCUGAAGAAGGCCUUCGGGUUGUAAAGGACUUUUGUUAGGGAAGAAAAGGAUAGUGUUAAUACCAUUAUCUGCUGACGGUACCUAAAGAAUAAGCACCGGCUAACUACGUGC
rnacentral:rRNA from 1 species